rnacentral:rRNA from 1 species
AUUGAACGCUAGCGGGAUGCUUUACACAUGCAAGUCGAACGAGUGGCGGACGGGUGAGUAAUAUAUCGGAACGUGCCCAGUAGCGGGGGAUAACUACUCGCAAGAGUGGCUAAUACCGCAUCCUAUAGGAGCGGCCGAUACAGGAGUAGCCAGGUGGUUGGGUAAAGGCUCACCAAGGCAACGAUCCGUAGCUGGUUUGAUAGGCUGACCAGCCACACUGGGACUGGGACACGGCCCAGACUCCUACGGGAUGCAGCAGUGGGGAAUUUUGGACAAUGGGGGCAACCCUGAUCCAGCCAUCCCGCGUGUAUGAGAAGGCCUUCGGGUUGUAAAGUACUUUUGGCAGAGAAGCGGUAUCUGCAGAAUAAGCACCGGCUAACUACGUGCCAGCAGCCGCGGUAAUAC